ACCGUACCCGUAGUCGUACUUUACUUUCUAGAGUAUAAGUAAGUACUUCGGUACAUCGGUGACAGGUGGUGCAUGGUUGUCGUCAGCUCGUGUCGUGAGAUGUUGGGUUAAGUCCCGCAACGAGCGCAACCCCUAUUGUUAGUUGCCAUCAUUCAGUUGGGCACUCUAGCGAGACUGCCGGUAAUAAACCGGAGGAAGUGGGAUGACGUCAAAUCAUCAUGCCCCUUAUGACCUGGGCUACACACGUGCUACAAUGGUUGGUACAACGAGUUGCGAGUCGGUGACGGCGAGCUAAUCUCUUAAAGCCAAUCUCAGUUCGGAUUGUAGGCUGCAACUCGCCUACAUGAAGUCGGAAUCGCUAGUAAUCGCGGAUCAGCACGCCGCGGUGAAUACGUUCCCGGGCCUU
rnacentral:rRNA from 1 species